GCCAGACCCACUGGAAACGCUGCUCCUUUGAAAACCUGUUGCCACCGGCUGCAAGCACAGGCUGAUGAUAAACAGAAGGAGAGGUGAAUUCAGCAUCUCUUCUGGAACGGGGAACAUCUGCCUCCAAAUACACCCUCAAAGACCAGCUGGUGCUCCAGCCCCCUACAGUUUUGCAGAUGCCAGGUUCACGGAGGUUGCGGGAAUCCAUCCAGAAUGCAAGAUAUUCCAGCAAGUAGUGAAAGAGGAGGCACUCUGCCUAGAAAAGAAUGAAUCUGUUUCAUCUGAUUUUAAAGGUAACGGUCUUGAUUGACAAGUUCUGAUAUUAGUAUCUCUUGAAUCACUUCAGGUUUGUGAUGUGAAGAUACCAGUUACUGAAUCAAAAUUUGAUUCCACAACCCUAUUUUAUUUGGCUUGAAGUGUUUCUCCUUCUAUUGGAUGCAGCUUUACCUCAUCUGAUUUUAGACGUCUGUAAAUGCUCAAUGUCUAAGUCAGGAUAUGUCUUCUUAGAUUCCCUUAAAGUAAAUGUAGAAAGGUGGGUGUCCUUAGAAAAAUUUUCAUUGCCUUUGCCUUAGAUGCUUACUUUAGGAUGA
rnacentral:lncRNA from 1 species